UUGGAGGGCAAGUCUGGUGCCAGCAGCCGCGGUAAUUCCAGCUCCAAUAGCGUAUAUUAAAGUUGUUGCCGUUAAAAAGCUCGUAGUUGAAUUUCGGGAUCAAUUUGUCGGUCGUGCCUCGGUACGUACUGGCAUUAUUGGUUUCUACCUUCUGAAGAACCUUGAUGUCAUCAAUUUGGUGUCUUGGGGAAUCAGGACUGUUACCUUGAAAAAAUUAGAGUGUUUAAAGCAGGCAUACGCUUGAAUACAUUAGCAUGGAAUAAUGAAAUAGGACGUUUGAUUCUAUUUUGUUGGUUUCUAGGAUCGACGUAAUGAUUAAUAGGGAUAGUUGGGGGCAUUAGUAUUCAAUUGUCAGAGGUGAAAUUCUUGGAUUUAUUGAAGACUAACUACUGCGAAAGCAUUUGCCAAGGAUGUUUUCAUUAAUCAAGAACGAAAGUUAGGGGAUCGAAGACGAUCAGAUACCGUCGUAGUCUUAACCAUAAACUAUGCCGACUAGGGAUCGGAUGAUGUUAUUUUUAAUGACUCAUUCGGCGCCUUACGGGAAACCAAAGUGUUUGGGUUC
rnacentral:rRNA from 1 species